CUGAGAUAUUCAAUUAAGGAUUCCUCUUCCCACUUUGAAGCGGAUCUCCAGGGCAGAUCUUCCGAGCGACCCGCCCUAUGUUAGAAAUAGGAAAAUCCAAUAAUAACAACACAUGAAAAAAAUGAAAAAAUGAGGCAACUUUGAUCACGCAUGCUCCUUUGUCAUCCACCUUACACGCAACAUUUCUCCCAAGUUAGAAAGUGACGGAAAAGCAAGGAAGUGGCGCUACAGCAAGCCAAUCGGUUGAAAGGAAGCAUCUCGUGUUUAAAAUGCCUGUGAUAUCAACAGAAGAUUGAUUGGCCUCAGCGCACACAAACAAGUGACGAGAAUUCAACCGGACAUUUGUGAAAUUCUGGGACAGAAAACAUUUCUUGCGUGUCCGUGUGUUCGGCAAGGGGAGAUGGGCCCUGCAGGCUCUGAAACAUGAGGCUUCAGAGAUAACAUUUCACGUCCAAUAGUGCUGCCUAACCAUGCAGCCCACAUGAAAUAAGCCCUUGGUCUCCAUUUUGGCUUUAAUUUUUUCCUUUCAAUGCCAACAGGCACUUGGAAAUGGGCUGGAAAAGCAGUACGUCCAGAUCUUUUAUGUCUUUUCAUAAUGUUGGACUUUCAUGAGAUGCACCUUUGAAAUAAACAAAUGCUCACAGUUUCAGAAAUGUGUUUAACAUCGUCAGAAACAAUGGUCAAAAUAUGUGCCCCAGCUGUCAUUGGGGCGUGCCCUUUUGAAAAGUACAGCUUUGCACCUAAAGACUACACAUUAGUACCUCAAAAUGACAUAUUGGUACCAAACGUAUACAUAUCUAUACCUUAAGGUACA